GAUGAACGCUGACAGAAUGCUUAACACAUGCAAGUCUACUUGAACUUCGGUUUGGGUGGCGGACGGGUGAGUAACGCGUAAAGAACUUGCCCCACAGAUAGGGACAACAUUUGGAAACGAAUGCUAAUACCUGAUAUUAUGAUUUUAGGGCAUCCUAGAAUUAUGAAAGCUAUAUGCACUGUGAGAGAGCUUUGCGUCCCAUUAGCUAGUUGGAGAGGUAACGGCUCACCAAGGCGAUGAUGGGUAGCCGGCCUGAGAGGGUGAUCGGCCACAAGGGGACUGAGACACGGCCCUUACUCCUACGGGAGGCAGCAGUGGGGAAUAUCGGACAAUGGACCAAGAGUCUGAUCCAGCAAUUCUGUGUGCACGAUGAAGUUUUUCGGAAUGUAAAGUGCUUUCAGUUGGGAAGAAAAAAAUGACGGUACCAACAGAAGAAGUGACGGCUAAAUACGUG
rnacentral:rRNA from 1 species